UGCUAAUACCGGAUAACAACACUAGACGCAUGUCUAGAGUUUAAAAGAAUGGUUCUGCUAUCACUCUUGGAUGGACCUGCGGUGCAUUAGCUAGUUGGUAAGGUAACGGCUUACCAAGGCAAUGAUGCAUAGCCGAGUUGAGAGACUGAUCGGCCACAUUGGGACUGAGACACGGUCCAAAACUCCUACGGGAGGCAGCAGCC
rnacentral:rRNA from 1 species